rnacentral:rRNA from 1 species
AGCGUACACGGUGGAUGCCCUGGCAGUCAGAGGCGAUGAAGGACGUGCUAAUCUGCGAAAAGCGCCGGUAAGGUGAUAUGAACCGUUAUAACCGGCGAUGUCCGAAUGGGGAAACCCGGUGCACUUCGGUGCAUCAUCGUUAGCUGAAUACAUAGGCUAACGAGGCGAACCGGGGGAACUGAAACAUCUAAGUACCCCGAGGAAAAGAAAUCAACCGAGAUUCCCCCAGUAGCGGCGAGCGAACGGGGAAGAGCCCAGAGCCUGAAUCAGCUUGUGUGUCAGUGGAACGGUCUGGAAAGGCCGGCGAUACAGGGUGACAGCCCCGUACACGAAGGCACACAGGCUGUGAGCUCGAUGAGUAGGGCGGGACACGUGAUAUCCUGUCUGAAGAUGGGGGGACCAUCCUCCAAGGCUAAAUACUCCUGACUGACCGAUAGUGAACCAGUACCGUGAGGGAAAGGCGAAAAGAACCCCGGCGAGGGGAGUGAAACAGAACCUGAAACCGUGUACGUACAAGCAGUGGGAGCCUUCGUAAGAGGGUGACUGCGUACCUUUUGUAUAAUGGGUCAGCGACUUAUAUUCUGUAGCAAGGUUAACCGUAUAGGGGAGCCGAAGGGAAACCGAGUCUUAACCGGGCGUUAAGUUGCAGGGUAUAGACCCGAAACCCGGUGAUCUAGCCAUGGGCAGGUUGAAGGUUGGGUAACACUAACUGGAGGACCGAACCGACUAAUGUUGAAAAAUUAGCGGAUGACCUGUGGCUGGGGGUGAAAGGCCAAUCAAACCGGGAGAUAGCUGGUUCUCCCCGAAAGCUAUUUAGGUAGCGCCUCGUGAACUCAUCUCCGGGGGUAGAGCACUGUUUCGGCUAGGGGGCCAUCCCGGCUUACCAACCCGAUGCAAACUGCGAAUACCGGAGAAUGUUAUCACGGGAGACACACGGCGGGUGCUAACGUCCGUCGUGAAGAGGGAAACAACCCAGACCGCCAGCUAAGGUCCCAAAGUCAUGGUUAAGUGGGAAACGAUGUGGGAAGGCCCAGACAGCCAGGAUGUUGGCUUAGAAGCAGCCAUCAUUUAAAGAAAGCGUAAUAGCUCACUGGUCGAGUCGGCCUGCGCGGAAGAUGUAACGGGGCUAAACCAUGCACCGAAGCUGCGGCAGCGACACUAUGUGUUGUUGGGUAGGGGAGCGUUCUGUAAGCCUGUGAAGGUGUGCUGUGAGGCAUGCUGGAGGUAUCAGAAGUGCGAAUGCUGACAUAAGUAACGAUAAAGCGGGUGAAAAGCCCGCUCGCCGGAAGACCAAGGGUUCCUGUCCAACGUUAAUCGGGGCAGGGUGAGUCGACCCCUAAGGCGAGGCCGAAAGGCGUAGUCGAUGGGAAACAGGUUAAUAUUCCUGUACUUGGUGUUACUGCGAAGGGGGGACGGAGAAGGCUAUGUCGGCCGGGCGACGGUUGUCCCGGUUUAAGCGUGUAGGCUGACUUUCCAGGCAAAUCCGGAAGGUUAAGGCUGAGGCGUGAUGACGAGGCACCACGGUGCUGAAGUGACAAAUGCCCUGCUUCCAGGAAAAGCCUCUAAGCAUCAGGUAACAUCAAAUCGUACCCCAAACCGACACAGGUGGUCAGGUAGAGAAUACCAAGGCGCUUGAGAGAACUCGGGUGAAGGAACUAGGCAAAAUGGUGCCGUAACUUCGGGAGAAGGCACGCUGACAUGUAGGUGAAGCCCCUGCGGGUGGAGCUGAAGUCAGUCGAAGAUACCAGCUGGCUGCAACUGUUUAUUAAAAACACAGCACUGUGCAAACACGAAAGUGGACGUAUACGGUGUGACGCCUGCCCGGUGCCGGAAGGUUAAUUGAUGGGGUUAUCGCAAGAGAAGCUCCUGAUCGAAGCCCCGGUAAACGGCGGCCGUAACUAUAACGGUCCUAAGGUAGCGAAAUUCCUUGUCGGGUAAGUUCCGACCUGCACGAAUGGCGUAAUGAUGGCCAGGCUGUCUCCACCCGAGACUCAGUGAAAUUGAACUCGCUGUGAAGAUGCAGUGUACCCGCGGCAAGACGGAAAGACCCCGUGAACCUUUACUACAGCUUGACACUGAACAUUGAGCCUUGAUGUGUAGGAUAGGUGGGAGGCUUUGAAGCGUGGACGCCAGUCUGCGUGGAGCCGACCUUGAAAUACCACCCUUUAAUGUUUGAUGUUCUAACCUGGCGCCGUGAUCCGGCGUGGGGACAGUGUCUGGUGGGUAGUUUGACUGGGGCGGUCUCCUCCCAAAGUGUAACGGAGGAGCACGAAGGUCAGCUAAUCCUGGUCGGACAUCAGGAGGUUAGUGCAAUGGCAUAAGCUGGCUUGACUGCGAGAGUGACGGCUCGAGCAGGUGCGAAAGCAGGUCAUAGUGAUCCGGUGGUUCUGUAUGGAAGGGCCAUCGCUCAACGGAUAAAAGGUACUCCGGGGAUAACAGGCUGAUACCGCCCAAGAGUUCAUAUCGACGGCGGUGUUUGGCACCUCGAUGUCGGCUCAUCACAUCCUGGGGCUGAAGUAGGUCCCAAGGGUAUGGCUGUUCGCCAUUUAAAGUGGUACGCGAGCUGGGUUUAGAACGUCGUGAGACAGUUCGGUCCCUAUCUGCCGUGGGCGCUGGAGAAUUGAGGGGGGCUGCUCCCAGUACGAGAGGACCGGAGUGGACGCAUCACUGGUGUUCGGGUUGUCAUGCCAAUGGCACUGCCCGGUAGCUAAAUGCGGAAGAGAUAAGUGCUGAAAGCAUCUAAGCACGAAACUUGCCCCGAGAUGAGUUCU